rnacentral:rRNA from 1 species
UACAGAGACUGCAAGCGUUAUUCGGAUUCACUGGGCGUAAAGGGUGCGCAGGCGGCCGUGUGUGUCAGGUGUGAAAGCCCGGAGCUUAACUCCGGAAUUGCGCCUGAAACUACAUGGCUAGAGCAUUGGAGAGGGUAGCGGAAUUCACGGUGUAGCAGUGAAAUGCGCAGAUAUCGUGAGGAACACCAGAGGCGAAGGCGGCUACCUGGACAAUUGCUGACGCUCAGGCACGAAAGCGUGGGGAGCAAAAGGG